rnacentral:lncRNA from 1 species
GGACGAGGACGAGGAAGGGAAAUAGGAGAAGGAGGAUAGGUAAGCUAAAUCCCCGGGACAGCAUAAUUUCGUAGUAACGAUCUCUCAAGGGUUCCUAACUCGAAUGCGAUGCACUUAAGGUCGAUCGACGGAAAUCGGAAAUCGAUCUGAGUACGUCGGUGAGUCGCAUCUAUUAGUAUACCAAGUCUCGUUUACGGCUCUAAUGCGUACACAGAUAAAUAGAAUGGUAAUACGAUAUACGAAGCAAUUCCUGGGAUAUUCAACCGAAUAGAAGUCUAGGAUUCUAUCACAUUUGAAAGAGCUCGUACAUCGGUUCUACCUUUCACGGAAGAUGCAUAAAAUGCAAGGAGAACGCGAGUAUUUUCAACGAGUCUGUACCAAGCUCGAAAAGCCCUUUUAAUUCAUAGCAAAUCCAUCGAUAUUUUUUGUUUCUCGCUUGAAAGGAAAUCAUCAAAUCUCUUGAGGAUUAAUAAGCGAAAUAAGAAUAGUUUUUUUACCCUCGUUAGAAAAAACAAAAAUAAAAAAAAAAAAACAAAAAAAGUGAUUUCUAGUUUGAGUAGGAAAUAUGUCAUGGUAUAAAUUCCUUAAUAAUUUAACAAAAAAUUUGAUAAAGAUGAUAAGUCAAAGAAUUAUAGGACGAUAUGAAAAUUUGUCAGCAACAACGAGCUGACAUUUCGAAGUAUAUUAAUUGACGUAAGUGGAAACUCCCUUAUUACUACGCUUCGACCAACGUCCAAGCGUUCUCCUUUACAGAAUCAGGAAGCUAACUACGUUAUUUAUCAUUCCGUUAUUUUUGCUCUUUUUUUAAACUUGUGAUUUAUUGUUAAAGAAGAAUUUCCUAGUUCAGCUUGCAUCGGAUCGGUCUUUCUUCUGCAAUGCUUUCGUAGCUUUAUUCUCGUAAAUAUACAAAGGGUGGUAUAUCUCAUGGAAGAAAA